CACGUAGGCACCAAGCGUUGUCCGGAUUUAUUGGGCGUAAAGAGCUCGUAGGCGGUUCGAUAAGUCGGGUGUGAAAACUUUGGGCUCAACCCAAAGCGUGCAUUCGAUACUGUUGUGACUAGAGUUCGGUAGGGGAGUGGGGAAUUCCUAGUGUAGCGGUGAAAUGCGCAGGUAUUAGGAGGAACACCGGUGGCGAAGGCGCCACUCUGGGCCGAAACUGACGCUGAGGAGCGAAAGCGUGGGGAGCGAACAGG
rnacentral:rRNA from 1 species